rnacentral:rRNA from 1 species
GAUGAACGCUAGCUACAGGCUUAACACAUGCAAGUCGAGGGGAAACGACAUCGAAAGCUUGCUUUUGAUGGGCGUCGACCGGCGCACGGGUGAGUAACGCGUAUCCAACCUGCCCACCACUUGGGGAUAACCUUGCGAAAGUAAGACUAAUACCCAAUGAUAUCUCUAGAAGACAUCCGAAAGAGAUUAAAGAUUUAUCGGUGAUGGAUGGGGAUGCGUCUGAUUAGCUUGUUGGCGGGGUAACGGCCCACCAAGGCUACGAUCAGUAGGGGUUCUGAGAGGAAGGUCCCCCACAUUGGAACUGAGACACGGUCCAAACGCCUACGGGAGGCAGCAGUGAGGAAUAUUGGUCAAUGGACGAGAGUCUGAACCAGCCAAGUAGCGUGCAGGAAGACGGCCCUAUGGGUUGUAAACUGCUUUUAUAAGGGAAUAAAGUGAGUCUCGUGAGACUUUUUGCAUGUACCUUAUGAAUAAGGACCGGCUAAUUCCGUGCCAGCCGCCGCAGUAA